CCCAGAGCUGCAUUCACUCUCUUUAUCUGUGCGGCGUUGUGGAGGAUCGCGUAGGGGCUGGUCAUGUUAAGUUUGUUCAUUAUACGUGGAAUUACUAGUUAAUUAGCUAGGUCAUUUUGAUAGGUAUUUGUAGCUGUUUCGCCAGUGAUUACCAUUUUGCCGUCUUUUGUUAUUGGCGUGUAUUUAUCAAAUGGGAAUAUUAAGUGUUACCGAGCCGGUGUUUUUUUUAUCUGUCGAUGGGGGGUGGCUAGUCCUCUGCCUGCCUAAUGUCCAGAUUCUUAAUCCGUAUUGAAUUCGUUUAAAUCGAAGAGGACGCGCUUCAUGGGCGAAGGCGAUUGAGCACUGGUCUGCAUUUCCGGUCCACAGGCCCCACAUCAGCACUGUAGGUGCUGGGAUCUACGAGCAGUGGGGUACGAGAGGAUUGCAACUUCUGCCACAUGUUAUGAUUCAUAACUAAAAAUAAAAUUACUGUCUUGUGA